UACGUAGGGUGCAAGCGUUGUCCGGAUUUAUGGGCGUAAAGAGCGUGUAGGCGCCAGACAGGUCCGUUGUGAAAACUCGAGGCUCAACCUCGAGAUGUCGAUGGAAACCGUCUGGCUAGAGUCCGGAAGAGGAGUGUGGAAUUCCUGGUGUAGCGGUGAAAUGCGUAGAUAUCAGGAGGAACACCGGUGGCGAAGGCAGCACUCUGGGACGGUACUGACGCUGAGACGCGAAAGCGUGGGGAGCGAACAGG
rnacentral:rRNA from 1 species